rnacentral:lncRNA from 1 species
GGCAGGUUUGCGUGUCUCCCUCUCUCUGCCCCACUGUUUCCCUUAGAUCCAAAAUGGCUGGCGAUGUUCCCUGAACACACACCCACCUCCAUUUCCUCCCCCCCCAUUUUCUUCUCUCUCUCUCGUCCUCCCCCCUCUCUCUUUUCAAGGAUCUUGGUGUUAAUGCUGUAGGUCUUUAGCUUGAAUGCAAAGGCUGUUUUCUGUCAGUUCGGCACACCAGCCUGUGAGAUGCCAUCUCGCUCACAUUCUUCCCAACGCUAGACAGAACUGAGGAAUCUGAAAGGCAUUAUUGGUGCUCCGGCAGCCUGACGCGCCCUGUGCACUUGACUCGCUCGAUUUGCAUAUGCAAUGCAGCCAUACUUAAUGAGUGGGCACCACUGAACUUCAGGGGCCCGCAGAGAGGAUGAAUCUGAAUGGCGCUGUGUGGAAAGAUCAGCACCGAAGUGUCUGUAGUCCUUCCCGGUCAGGACAUGGAUGCUGCUUGUGAAUUUAAAACCAAAGACAAUCAAGAUCUUGGAGAGAAAGAGAAGUGGCCGGGUGAGGAAGUUGCCUCUCAGCAAGGACAAAAGGGAAAUGAGGGAAAUUUUACAAGAAAAUUUUCAUUUUAGUUAAAAAGCCAUUUUCCACCAAAACAUUUUUCAGUGAAAAAAUUUGAACUGACUAAAAUACCCUGACCUCAGUCCUGAGGAACAGCCUAAAGCUGGAAACGGGGGAAGAAAUGGAGUAAGACAAGAAAUGAGGGUGAAAAAAUCAGAAGAGGACAGAGAAUUGGAGAGGAAAAGAAGCCGAAAAAAGGAAGCAAAACUAGAAGAUAGUCAAGAAGAGGGAGAAUUAGGCCAGGACGGGAAGAGGGAAAGCAAUCCAUGCAACAUAAAGAGCAGAAUGAAAUAAAACACAAGGAAGAGAGCA